AUGCAAGGAAGCUGCAGAUGUGAACAUAAGCUGCAGAAACAGUCCUGGAGCUCUGGAGAUACAGGAGUUUUUAAUGCAGCCUGUUACUGUGCCCUCACUGGUGAUGGUGCCCUGCAUCAGGCUGGAAAGGCCAAAUUUGUUUCAGAGACAGCCCAGUGAUAAAUUAAGGGUGGCAUGAAGACUGGAGUGCUUCCAUGCUGACUUAGUCAGGAGGAUCCUGGUUUCCCAAGGUGCCUUGCCUCUCCUCAACUGUGCAGUGGUGAAUCCUAGGAAAAGCCAGGACUGUGCCAUGUCAGAGAUAGCGCUGAUGGUCAUUUAACAUCAGACACAAACUUCUGAUGGACCAGCCCUGGUAGUCUAAACCUGACUGUGCAUAUGGACACAAAUAGAGUCAUACUCCUUCAAUAAAUUAGUCUUAUCUCCAAAGUAA